rnacentral:rRNA from 1 species
AUAUUGCACAAUGGGGGAAACCCUGAUGCAGCCAUGCCGCGUGUGUGAAGAAGGCCUUCGGGUUGUAAAGCACUUUCAGUAGGGAGGAAAGGGUGUAGUUUAAUACGCUAUAUCUGUGACGUUACCUACAGAAGAAGGACCGGCUAACUCCGUGCCAGCAGCCGCGGUAAUACGGAGGGUCCGAGCGUUAAUCGGAAUUACUGGGCGUAAAGCGUGCGCAGGCGGUUUGUUAAGCGAGAUGUGAAAGCCCUGGGCUCAACCUAGGAAUAGCAUUUCGAACUGGCGAACUAGAGUCUUGUAGAGGGGGGUAGAAUUCCAGGUGUAGCGGUGAAAUGCGUAGAGAUCUGGAGGAAUACCGGUGGCGAAGGCGGCCCCCUGGACAAAGACUGACGCUCAUGCACGAAAGCGUGGGGAGCAAACAGGAUUAGAUACCCUGGUAGUCCACGCCGUAAACGAUGUCUACUCGGAGUUUGGUGUCUUGAACACUGGGCUCUCAAGCUAACGCAUUAAGUAGACCGCCUGGGGAGUACGGCCGCAAGGUUAAAACUCAAAUGAAUUGACGGGGCCCC